CUCCUCCCUGCGGCUGACAGGUGUGCUGUUGGGGGAGUGACGAGAGCUUUCCUGCAGGUCUGGCGAGGAAUGCCCCGCGCGACCCGCCGGCUGGUCCGUGACGGUCUGAAUAUUCUUUCGACUAUUAAACCGUAUGAGGGCGCGCGAGCCCGGGGGUGCGCGUCGGGGACGGCGCUUUGCGUCACGUCAUCGGUUUCGAUUACGCGAUUAAUGUAACUGCGUAUGGGAUUAGGGCAGGAAAUUACUCGUGUGGGGAGAGGGAGUUGACUCGAAUGCAAUGACCUUACCUCGGGAACAGAGUGCAAGAGACUUCCAGACACAGACACCUUCCUCCGGCUGCAGAGAGUGACAGGCUGAUAGAUGGUGCUGUACACUCGCUCGCCUUCUGCACUGACCUGAUGAUUUCAAUCUUCCCCUACACUUUAAUUGAGUCAUAAAUCUUUGGACAAAAUCCAGAAGUAUUUAAACUGGAAGGAAAACAAAGAAUACAGUGAGAGAGUGGAAAAAUAGAUAAAGCCAAGAUUGAAUCAGCCAUGAUGUCAUUGAAUGGAGGAGCAGAUUCAAGGAGCUAACUGGCCAAUUCUUGCUUCUUACAUUCAGCUGAAUACUGGAACAAGCACUGUGAAUGUUGGAAAGAACUUGUGCGGUCAACAAUAGUUUUGUGAAGGAGCCUGACCACCAGAGUGCCUGUCUAAAUU